rnacentral:rRNA from 1 species
UGCCAUGGCCAUACCGGCUUGUCAAAUCUCAUCAGAUCUCAGAAGGUAAACAAGGCUGGGCCUGGCUAGUACUUGGAUGGAAGACCUUUGUGUCCUUAGGCAAGACACUUUAGCUC